UACGUAGGGACCAAGCGUUGUUCGGAUUUACUGGGCGUAGAGGGCGCGUAGGCGGCGCGGUAAGUCACUUGUGAAAUCUCUGAGCUUAACUCAGAACGGCCAAGUGAUACUGCAGUGCUAGAGUGUGGAAGGGGCAAUCGGAAUUCUUGGUGUAGCGGUGAAAUGCGUAGAUAUCAAGAGGAACACCUGAGGUGAAGACGGGUUGCUGGGCUGACACUGACGCUGAGGCGCGAAAGCCAGGGGAGCAAACGGG
rnacentral:rRNA from 1 species